rnacentral:rRNA from 1 species
UCUGGUCAGAACGAAGCUGGCGGCGCGUCUUAAGCAUGCAAGUCGGACGGCAAGGGUAGCAAUACCCCUAGAGUGGCGGACUGGUGAGUAACGCGUGGGUGACCUGCCCUUGAGAUGGGGAUAGCCAUUAGAAAUAGUGGAUAAUACCGAAUACGCUUGCUGUCACUGUGGUGAUGCAAGGAAAGGAGCUACGGCUCCACUCAAGGAUGGGCCCGCGUCCCAUUAGCUAGUUGGUGAGGUAACGGCCCACCAAGGCGACGAUGGGUAUCCGGCCUGAGAGGGUGUACGGACACAUUGGGACUGAGAUACGGCCCAAACUCCUACGGGAGGCAGCAGCUAAGAAUAUUCCGCAAUGGACGAAAGUCUGACGGAGCGACGCCGCGUGGAUGAAGAAGGCCCGAAAGGUUGUAAAAUCCUUUUGCUGAUGAAGAAUAAGUGUGGUAGGGAAUGACCAUAUGACUGACCCAUUAGUCGGUCGUAAGUAAGCCCGGCUAACUACGGUGCCAGCCGCUGC